GUAAAGCGAGCGCAGGCGGUUUCUUAAGUCUGAUGUGAAAGCCCCCGGGCUCAACCGGGGGAGGGUCAUUGGAAACUGGGAGACUUGAGUGCAGAAGAGGAGAGUGGAAUUCCCAUGGUGUAGCGGUGAAAUGCGUAGAUAUAUGGAGGAACACCAGUGGCGAGGGCGGCUCUCUGGUCUGUAACUGACGCUGAGGCUCGAAAGCGUGGGGAGCAAACAGGAUUAGAUACCUUGGUAGUCCACGCCGUAAACGAUGAGUGCUAAGUGUUGGAGGGUUUCCGCCCUUCAGUGCUGCAGCAAACGCAUUAAGCACUCCGCCUGGGGAGUACGACCGCAAGGUUGAAACUCAAAGGAAUUGACGGGGGCCCGCACAAGCGGUGGAGCAUGUGGUUUAAUUCGAAGCAACGCGAAGAACCUUACCAGGUCUUGACAUCCUUUGACCACUCUAGAGAUAGAGCUUUCCCUUCGGGGACAAAGUGACAGGUGGUGCAUGGUUGUCGUCAGCUCGUGUCGUGAGAUGUUGGGUUAAGUCCCGCAACGAGCGCAACCCUUAUUGUUAGUUGCCAUCAUUUAGUUGGGCACUCUAGCGAGACUGCCGGUGACAAACCGGAGGAAGGUGGGGAUGACGUCAAAUCAUCAUGCCCCUUAUGACCUGGGCUACACACGUGCUACAAUGGGAAGUACAACGAGUCGCUAGACCGCGAGGUCAUGCAAAUCUCUUAAAGCUUCUCUCAGUUCGGAUUGCAGGCUGCAACUCGCCUGCAUGAAGCCGGAAUCGCUAGUAAUCGCGGAUCAGCACGCCGCGGUGAAUACGUUCCCGGGCCUUGUACACACCGCCCGUCACACCACGAGAGUUUGUAACACCCGAAGUCGGUGAGGUAACCUUUUUGGAGCCAGCCGCCUAAGGUGGGAUAGAUGAUUGGGG
rnacentral:rRNA from 1 species